UGGGGAAUAUUGGACAAUGGGGGCAACCCUGAUCCAGCAAUGCCGCGUGUGUGAAGAAGGCCUUCGGGUUGUAAAGCACUUUUGGCUGGGAAGAAGGCGUAUGAAAGUACGUUUGACGGUACCAGCAGAAUAAGCACCGGCUAACUCUGUGCCAGCAGCCGCGGUAAUACAGAGGGUGCAAGCGUUAAUCGGAGUUACUGGGCGUAAAGGGCGCGUAGGCGGUUAUGUAAGUGAGAUGUGAAAUCCCUGGGCUUAACCUAGGAACUGCAACUCAUACUGCGUAACUAGAGUAUUGUAGAGGGUAGUGGAAUUUCCGGUGUAGCGGUGAAAUGCGUAGAGAUCGGAAGGAACACCAGUGGCGAAGGCGGCUACCUGGACAAAUACUGACGCUGAGGCGCGA
rnacentral:rRNA from 1 species